UGGGGGAAACCCUGACGCAGCGACGCCACGUGCGGGAUGAAGGCCUUCGGGUUGUAAACCGCUUUCACCAGGGACGAAGCGAGAGUGACGGUACCUGGGGAAGAAGCGCCGGCUAACUACGUGCCAGCAGCCGCGGUAAUACGUAGGGCGCAAGCGUUGUCCGGAAUUAUUGGGCGUAAAGAGCUCGUAGGCGGCUUGUCACGUCUGCUGUGAAAUCCCGGGGCUCAACCCCGGGCGUGCAGUGGAUACGGGCUGGCUAGAGGCAGGCAGGGGAGAACGGAAUUCCCGGUGUAGCGGUGAAAUGCGCAGAUAUCGGGAGGAACACCGGUGGCGAAGGCGGUUCUCUGGGCCUGUACUGACGCUGAGGAGCGAAAGCGUGGGGAGCGAACAGGAUUAGAUACCCUGGUAGUCCACGCCGUAAACGUUGGGCGCUAGGUGUGGGUCCCUUCCACGGGGUCUGUGCCGCAGCUAACGCAUUAAGCGCCCCGCCUGGGGAGUAC
rnacentral:rRNA from 1 species